GGUAUAUAUGAUGCCCCCCAACGGGGGCCUCACAGAGAUUAGAGCCUCUCGACCAUCGGAUUUUUCCAGCAAGCCCCGCAUCGAUCUGGCCCGUUCAUCUCUUGAACAAAAACACCAACGAAAACCUAGCCUCCAGCCCCAAUCCGUUGGCCUCUUCCGCCCCCAAUCCGCUAACCUCCUCCCCCCAAUCGGCUCGCGUCGAUCCCAGUUGUGCCUCGUCCCAUCGCCGCCGUCAUGGUGGUCUUCUCCGUCGAGAUAGUAGGCGAGGAGGCAGAGGAGGAAGCUCUCCAUGGUGCCGCCAUUCGCGCCGCCGACCGGUAGGAGCAGGCGCCCUCGAUGUAUGUCGUGCCGCCUGCGCCUCCUCCACGCCACCGCAUCCGUUCUACUCCGCAUCGCAGCUGCUGGUUCGGGAGGAGUGGCCGGUGCCCGACGGGAGCAGCGCAGCCAAGGAUCCCAUGGCCUCCGUGCGUUCUGCGUCCCAGACCAGCAGCCGGUGGUGGUGUUCCUCGUCAUACAAAGAUGUGGAUAGCAAGAGGUAUACACCUAUUUCUCUAUACUAGAUCAUCUCUGAUUUUGUUUCUCCAAAUGAACCAUGCGUUUUAUUUACUAUUCAGUACAGUUCUAGGUGUUCAUCUCGAAAUUGUUGGUCAUUUGAUAGAUGUGCAGGUGUGGUGCAUGUGAUGGUCGGAAAGACCUAUAGCCACAGACAUGCAUGUGAGUGCUCUCCAGAAUAUGUAGCGUCUAUCAUAAAUUUGUCAGUAUGUGUCAUGCCUGGCUAUGUUAUUGGAUAAAUGAAGGCUCCCUCUGUUUUUUGGGCGAAGUUUUGAAGGAUUUGUCUAAAACUGUUGCUCUACUGUCGUUGUUUGUUACCUGCAUCUAUUCGCUUUGCUAAAGAUUUAUGCUUGGUGUAGCUUUUGGCUCCUUCAUUUCUUUGUCUAAUAUUGUGUUCAAAGUGGCUUCAUAUAUUUCUUGAGAGUGGUCAUCCUGAAGUUGAUCUACAUUUCCCACAAGAAGUAGCUCUGUUAUAUACAAAUAAAUUUCCUGUGAGUUGAUAGAAAAUCUUUAUAUCUCAUUGAGUUUUGUAAAAGCUCAUAGUGAAAUCUUGAAUUCUGCAUUGUUUAAAUAUAUCAGCUUGAGUUCAUAAAGGUUGAGCCAUAGAUAGAGAAAUUAAUCCAACUAUUGUUGAUGCCUCAGUUUCAGGUUUCUAAGAGUAUAGCCGUAGAUUAUGAGAGAUGGUUUCCUAAUAGCUUCUAUUUGAUUUACUUAAGGCCUGAACCACAUAUAAAGUUCAGAGAAAAUUUAAAGAUCAUUUGGAAUGACCGAAAAUGUUUAAAGUUCAUUGAUACAUUUAUUUUCUCUUCAUAGUCCAUUAAUAAGCUAACGGCCUUCGCUUUAUCUCGCUCCUGUUGCAGAAAUUAAUCGAGUAUGAAGCAAAUACGAUGAUAUUUUUAUGUAGAGACCCCUGAUGUCUUCUUUCAUGUCCCAGACACUCCCAAGGAUAUUCAGGGUUCCUUAUAUAGAAUGUUAUUCAAUCUUAUGCUAAAAGCAUGGUCUUUCAAAGGCUGAGUACCAUCUUGAAUUAUAAGAAGAUAGCAAAGUUUGUGUGAAUUGCUCUUUAAUGCAUCUACAUGGUUCCUGUGAACAUGUCGAUGUCUGGAGCCCAGUCCAAUGAUUAUGAAAUAGCAAAGAAAUAUGCUGACAAGCUCAAGGGCACAACAUUAUCUGAGGGUAGUUCAAAGAAGAAACAAUCUGGUGGUUUGCAAUCAAAGACAACAGAUGAACUCCCAGUUUCAAAGCUUUAUAUUUGGGUAGGGCUUAUCAGAAAGGAGAGAAGCAUCUAUAUGUUGAUUCACUUUAUGUACAAGAGAUCGAUGUUGGAGAAGUGGCACCAAGAACAGUGGUUAGCGCACUUAUCAAAUACAUCCCUCUUUAAGAAAUGCAGAACCCGAAAGUGGGUGUGCUCUGCAAAUCUUAAACCGGCGGCAAUGUGCGGUGUAAUAUCACAUGCUAUGGUUUUGGCUGCGUCCAAUGAGGACAAUAAAAGGUUGAAAUGCCUGGGUCUCCAAAAUCUGCAGUCGUGGGGAGGUGACCUUUGCUGGGGCACUCGGGAAGAGCGUCGGAAGAUGAUGAGGAAGCAAUCCUAGACUAAAAACCAUGCUGCACUAGGCAGGUGAUUGCCAUGUUACAAACACAAUCUACGUGUUUUGUUUAUUCGAAGCACACUUGAUAUACAGCCUGUGAUGUGUUCUUUUGCUCCUCUUCAUCAGCUGAGGAAGGAGUAUUCCACGGCCAUCCAUUGGCAGUGGGAGGCAGCGCAAAGCGAGUUGGAGGGAACACCAAAGGAGGCAUGCAAGAGGGCGACCAUCACAGGAGCACAUCAUAGCUCAGGCCAUCAUCACAAGAACUGGAGUUCGAAACCCUGAAGCAAACUAGUAUCAAAUUAUCUGCCUAUUACCUUCUUCUGAUGAGGGGUUGUCGAUGAAGUGGGAUUGCUCUAUGUUAAGUCCACUAGCUGAGCGGUGAGGGCAACUAACGGUCGUGAGACAAGGAACGGAGUCGUUAAGGUAGCACCAACUCUUGGUGUCGCGGCCGCCGGUGAUAGUGAUUUAGGACACAACAUCGGCAACCUGGUGGCUGAUGUGCAGAUGCGAUGAAUUCACAUGGAGUGCGCCGUCAGCAACUGCCUUGCCUCCUCCGCCUCCUCUCCUAUCGCCGCUGGAGAUGCCACGCAGCAGUGCAGAGCAUGUUGGUGCAGGUUUAUAUUUCUUCUCUUUUCCUCUUGAGUUCUUUAUUAUUUUCAUCCCUUCCUAUUCAGAUUUUCUGUCAUUACACUUUCCAUAUGGGGUCAGCGAUUUUUUCCUGCGGAAACUUCCAGGGGCUACUUUUAGAGGAGGGCUGUGAUUACUUCUGAGCUCUGAAUUUUUGCAAUGCUGACAAGAAGACACAAAUCAGGGUUUUUUCCGUGGCUAUCCUAUUGAGUAUUUGUUGGAAGUUUAAUCACUGCCACAAGCAAACUUACUUGCUUUCUUUUGACUUUCGGUUUCCUUGUUUUAUCAGCGUUGAUGACAUGUAGGAACUUUCAUAUGGCUUACAAUUUCGUGAAUUGUCAAUCAUUGUGCUUCCAGUAGCUAGCUUAUGACCAUUUUUUUGUUCUUCACUUGUGGCACUGUAUUGGCAUGCUCGCCUUUUCUGGAUGUACACAUACAUGGUUGUGGAAAUGAAGGUUAGGAUCUCACAAAAAUGACUUAUUAUACUCCCUAAAAAAUCUCAUUUCGGUUCUGAAGUGCAACAAAUAGGUAUUUUAUAUGAUAUUUUUGUUCUUCGCUUCUGCCAUCUCAUCUCUCCGCUGCAUUUUUUCUAUUUUACUCUUUCCAUAGUCAGCCAACGACUAUUUUGUAAGCACACUAUUCCUUGGUGUUGGGCUCUUCACAAUUCAAGAAUGGAUGAUUAGCUUUUAGCUUGGUUUUACAUUUGGGUUAUAUCAGUCUUGACUAUCAGUUGUAUUACUCUACCAAUUUACCAUUCCUGCUGGUGCUUUACAUGCCUGCCAGAUUGUACAUUGGUUCCAAUAUAAAUAGCAGAUGUCAAGCUUUCAAAAGAUUUGCUAGGUGAAGGCGGCGCUAUAUAGAUAGGGAGGAUUUCCUUUUCAGUGUCAUAAAGAUUCAUAGUUGAUUAGAUGGUAUUAAGAUUAUUAUAUUUAGAUUUGCCUAAAGCUGUUAGCUAAUGUAAUGAUGCUUCUUUACUGGUUAGUGUUCCAGAUGUCAAGCUGGGUGUAUGAACAUAGUUCUGCUACUAGCCUCUUUUUCAAGGUCUUGCUUCCGUUUCUGAUGCAUGUGGAGAUAACCACAGAUUGUUUAUUCCUGUGUAUUCCGUACAAUGUCUAAUGUGUCUUCUUUUCUAUGGAUGCCUCAUUGUUGCUGUUCAGUAGUAUUAUCCUUCGUUUUGUACCACUUUAUUUUAAAGUUGCUACAUGCCAUCUCUUUGUGUAAAUAGGAUUAUGUAUCAUGUAAGCCGUUUGCUUCCUUUAUAUCCCUAUGUUUGGCUAGAAAGGAUUGGAGAUAUUAUAAGCGUGCUUACUCUUCUCUGCUAGCUGUUUGUGAAUCAUUGGUUUAUCAAAGGUUUACUUACUAUCUUUGAAUUCUCAUUUCUAUUGCUUUACUUGUUUUGUCUUCAUAUGUUUAGGUCCAUCAAAAUAAUAAUUUUCCACUUCAUGGUUGCAGCUAGAUGGAAACUAUCGAGAUCUCGGCCAUCUGUUUAGGCGCACCCCUAAAUCGUUGAGUUUAUAAGCUAUUAUGGGCUGUUAUCUGGAUGUUUAUCUUUAGAAGCUUAUAAGCUAUUACGGGAUAUCAACAUUUCCCCUGUAUUAAUGGUAAGACAAAUUUAAAAGAUUUCUUAUAAUCUAUAAAUAUCACUUGGUAGGAAGUGAGAAGCUUAUCACUUGGUAUGAACCAAAGAUUAAGGUGAAAGCGAGGAAAACAAAAGCCACUUCUGUGUAAUCAAAAUGAAUAGAAGUUCUAUUGC